rnacentral:rRNA from 1 species
CUUGGCCUACGGGGCGCAGCAGUGGGGGAUAUUGCACAAUGGGGGAAACCCUGAUGCAGCGACGCCGCGUGAGUGAAGAAGUAUUUCGGUACGUAAAGCUCUAUCAGCAGGGAAGAAUAAUGACGGUACCUGACUAAGAAGCCCCGGCUAACUACGUGCCAGCAGCCGCGGUAAUACGUAGGGAGCAAGCGUUAUCCGGAAUUAUUGGGUGUAAAGGGUGCGUAGACGGGAUGUCAAGUUAGUUGGGAAAUACCUCGGCUCAACUGAGGAACUGCAACUAAAACUAACAUUCUUGAGUGCAGGAG